CAGCCGCCGCGGUAAUACGUAGGGUGCAAGCGUUAAUCGGAAUUACUGGGCGUAAAGCGUACGCAGGCGGCUUUGCAAGACAGGUGUGAAAUCCCCGGGCCUAACCUGGGAACUGCAUUUGUGACUGCAUGGCUAGAGUCUGUCAGAGGGGGGUGGAAUUCCACGUGUAGCAGUGAAAUGCGUAGAUAUCGAGAGGAACACCAGUGGCGAAGGCGAGUCUCUGGACAAUUCCUGACACUGAUGCUCGAAAGCUAGGGGAGCAAACGGGAUUAGAUACCCCGGUAGUCCUAGCUGUAAACGGUGCACGCUUGCCGUAGGUGGAUUCGACCCCGCCUGUGGCGAAGCUAACGCGUUAAGCGUGCCGCCUGGGAAGUACGGUCGCAAGAUUAAAACUCAAAGGAAUUGACGG
rnacentral:rRNA from 1 species